UACGUAGGGGGCAAGCGUUGUCCGGAAUUAUUGGGCGUAAAGAGCGUGUAGGCGGUCCGGUAAGUCAGCUGUGAAAGUCAAGGGCUCAACCCUUGAAUGCCGGUUGAUACUGUCGGGCUAGAGUCCGGAAGAGGCGAGUGGAAUUCCCGGUGUAGCGGUGAAAUGCGCAGAUAUCAGGAGGAAUACCGGUGGCGAAAGCGACUCUCUGGACGGCAACUGACACUCAGGGACGAAAGCUAGGGGAGCGAAUGGG
rnacentral:rRNA from 1 species